rnacentral:rRNA from 1 species
CGUAAGGGAAAAUAAUGAUACUACCUUACGAUUAGUGUCGUCCAAGUACUCGUGCCAGAAGCUCGGUAAGGCGAGAGACGCAAACGUUAGUCGUCUUGAACAGGCGUAAAGGGUUUGUAGGCGGCUUUAAGUAUCUGAUUUUAAGUUUACUUUUUUAAUAUUUAAAUAUAACUGCAACUUUUCAUUUUGAGUUAAUUCAUAACAAAAAAAAUAAAAUAAUUUGACUUUAGUUUAGUAAUUAUCCGCUUGAUCGAGGCGGAGUCUGGUUGAGGUUAAAGGAAUAGUGUAUAUUGGAGCAUUAAUGAUAGGCAGGGAGCAGGGUGGUAAGGGCAGAUGCCCUUAUUAGAUAUUAUUUGUUAUUUUUAUAUUAAAAUUAUUAAAAAGAGAUCAAUUAAAGAAUCUAGAAGAGGUUACAAUACUUGAUGUAGGAGUGUCACCUUUAGAUCUUGAGGCAGAGUGUGUAAGGCGAAGGCAGUUUUUCCAAUAAAGAUUGACGCUGAGAAACG